rnacentral:rRNA from 1 species
GACGAACGCUGGCGGCGUGGAUUAGGCAUGCAAGUCGAGCGGCAAGGCACCUUCGGGUGCCCUAGAGCGGCGAACGGGUGAGUAACACGUGAACAACCUGCCCUCACAUUCUGGAUAAUUCACCGAAAGGUGUUGUAAUACAGGCGAGGAUUCUUGAGAGGCAUUUCUUGAGAAGGGAAGGCGCAAGCCGUGCGAGGAGGGGUU